rnacentral:tRNA from 1 species
GAGGGUAUAGCUCAAAUGGUAGAGCACAUGCUUAGCAUGCAUGAGGUCUUGGGUUCAAUCCCCAGUUCCUCCU